GAUGAACGCUGGCUACAGGCUUAACACAUGCAAGUCGAGGGGAAACGACGGGGAAGCUUGCUUCCCCGGGCGUCGACCGGCGCACGGGUGAGUAACGCGUAUCCAACCUGCCUCUGACUGAGGGAUAACCCGUCGAAAGUCGGCCUAAUACCUCAUGGCAUCGUCUGCGGGCAUCCAACGACGAUUAAAGAUUUCAUCGGCCAGGGAUGGGGAUGCGUCUGAUUAGCUAGUUGGCGGGGUAACGGCCCACCAAGGCGACGAUCAGUAGGGGUUCUGAGAGGAAGGUCCCCCACAUUGGAACUGAGACACGGUCCAAACUCCUACGGGAGGCAGCAGUGAGGAAUAUUGGUCAAUGGGCGAGAGCCUGAACCAGCCAAGUAGCGUGCAGGAUGACGGCCCUAUGGGUUGUAAACUGCUUUUAUGCGGGGAUAAAGUGAGGGACGUGUCCUUCAUUGCAGGUACCGCAUGAAUAAGGACCGGCUAAUUCCGUG
rnacentral:rRNA from 1 species